AAAUAUCUUGUUGGUAGUAAUAAAAAAUAAAACCCUAAAAACUUGGCGGUUAUAAUUUCUUAAAGAAACUCGUUUUUUAAUCGAUAAAACCCGAUAAUUUUUACUUAAAUUAAAAAUUUAUAUACCGCCGUUUAAAAACUGAAAUAAAUUAAAAUAAAUUUCCUAAUUAAAAAUUUUUAAAGAUCAGGUCAAGGUGUAAUACAUUUUUAAGAAAAAAUAAGUUACAUAUAAAAAUAAUUUAAGAAAUUUCUAUAAAAAUAAAAAAGAAAAAGAAUUUAUAAUUAAUUUAAAAUUAAAAAUCUUAAAAGAAAAUUAAAAUUAUAAUGC
rnacentral:rRNA from 1 species